UUAGUAGCCACUUAGUCACAAACACUGGCCAAAUAUAUAUAUAUUUAUUUAUUUAUUUUUAAACACAAACAAAUAUGAACCCUAACUUUGGCCAGUGUUUGUGACUAAGUGGCUACUAU